AUAUAGUGAUGGCACAUACGACCACUACAAUCAUUGGUAUCGCAGUAGCACAAGGAUUUUGCUCACCGGUCCUCCACCAGAUUACACACAUGCCGAUCAGCUGGUUGUAGGGACUGAACGAACAGCAGCAUACCAUCGCGAAACCUCGAUACAAGAAUAUAGGGAGAUCGCUCGGUCUGCAUCGGAUGCUUUGCGGCUGCGAAACGUGAAUAGUCCUGAAGGAAAGUCCCUGAUUAGGCGUAUUUUUAAUACGGCCAUGAACGGGCUUAAAAGAUUUGGUUGUGCUCGAGAUGACGAUGUUGUUACGCGAGAAUACGACAUGCCAGAUGCACCAUCGUCUAGACCCAGUAUGGCGCGUACGAGCAGUAUGGCGCGUACGAGCAGUAUGGCACGUACGAGCAGUAUGGCGCGUACGAGCCAACCUCCUACGCGGAAUCCAUCAUAUGCACGCGUCGACUCAUCUCUACUUGACCGCUCACAAUCAGCUCGCAUGUCUCCGCCCCAUGGCGCCACACAGGAGGAGAAUAUUUUCUCUACUAAUCCGUUCGGGGAACGAUUUUCAUACACCCAAGGGGAGACUUCAAACGUCGACAACACCACUCGCGUAUGUU